GGAAAUAUCGCCAAACCAACAAUUCAUUUGACCAAAACCUCACAAUAUAUCAUCAUUUGUAUGCACAGAUUGGAUGCAUUGUGUGUUGUAAGCUUUUCGUGGCGCUAGAUGUCAGACAGAUGCAAAUGGCAAAUACAUACGGAAGUGUAAAACGUGUAUGGCGAACAUUUGUUUUUUUCUGUCAUUAUAGAUGCUAGUUUGGUGAACGUUCACACUGAGUGCUUCAAAUCAUUCAGAAGAGAUGCUGUUUUUAGGGCAGUUUAUUAAAGAAGACCUGACAUGGAUGACUUCCAAUGAGAAACGACUGCUAAUACUUAUAUAAAUUCAUUACAGAAGGACCCUACCAGACUAUAUUUGAAUACGGCAUACCCAUGAAUUCUGGAACUGUUAUUCCUUAACCCAGUUUGGAGGAUAAGAGCUUACCAACUAGUUAUAAAUAUGCUGAGGUGAUGUAUUGCAAAAUAGCCAACAUACAACAAUAUGGAUGACCCUCUGUCUGGUCAACAGGAGUUUAAAUAUGGACGGGACAGUGAUGUGGCAGCUCUUCCCUGGCUCAUUCACCUCUUGCCUUUCAUUUGUGAAAGGAAGAAAGAAGAAAGAGGGUCGAUGUGCA